GCCGGCGCGUGGGGGUGCAGGGGUCCCGACUGCGCGCAGGACGUCGCCCGGCCGAGCGCCUGCCAGGGCGAUUCGGAGUGGCGGAGACAGAAAGCCCGUUUUAUCACACCCUCUUUUAAAGAAGAUCGAUUCUUCUAAAGCUUAUGCAAAAAAAAAAAAAAGAAGAAGAAGAAAA